rnacentral:rRNA from 1 species
ACGCUCGACACCUACGGGAGGCGGCAGUGGGGAAUAUUGCACAAUGGGGGAAACCCGUACGAUGCAGCGACGCCGCGUGAGCGAAGAAGUAUUUCGGUAUGUAAAGCUCUAUCAGCAGGGAAGAAAAUGACGGUACCUGACUAAGAAGCCCCGGCCUAACUACGUGCCAGCAGCCACGGUAAUCUGAGCGGGCUGGCAAGGC